AAUUUCGUGACCACCUUCAUCCAUGAACUAGCCGUCGCUGCUCACUCCCAAAACCCUAAACCACAAACCACAAACCACAAACUCCCUCCCAAACCCUUAAAAAAUGGGAAUGAACCUAUUUGACGGUGACGAUGACGACAUUGAGAAGCUCGACAAUAUCGAAAUCAACGAGGAAUUUGCUCGUCGCUACGAACACAACAAGAAAAGAGAAGACUUACAAAAACUCGAAGAGUUGAAGAAGAAAGGCGUCAUUGAUGACGAAAGCAACACGUCAUCUGAAGAUGAAGAUGAAGAAGAAGAAGAAGAAGUUGAGGAUUUGAACGGUUCAAGUAAUUUAAAGUUCUUUGAUGGUUUACUUAAGAUUAAAAAAGGUGAUCCUGUUGUUUUGAAUAAUAAACAUGCUAAAUUAUUCGAUUCUGAUGAUGAAACUGAAACUGAAACAAAUCCUGAGAAAAAUAAAGAAAAUAAGAAAAAGAAAAAGCCAAUGUAUUUGAAGGAUGUUGUAUCUAAGCAUUUAAUAGAGGAAGGUCCCGAAUUCGGAAACGAUGAGGAGGAGGAGGAGGAAAAAGAGGAGAAGAAAGUGAAAACGUAUAACGAGGAGCAAGACGAGUUAAGAAAGGAGUUUUUAAAUGCUGUUAAGGAGGAUGAGGAAGAGGAUGAGGACUUGUUUAAGGUGAAAGAGACUGAGAAAGAUGACAAUGUGGAGGAGGGCGAUACGGAGUUUGUUAAGAAAUUGGAUGAGUUUUUCGGGGAAGAUGACAAGUUAGACGAGGAGACGGUGUUUUUGAAGGAUUUUUUUAGGAAGGAGAUGUGGAAGGAAGAUAAGAAAGGGAAAAGGGAUGAUGUAGAGGACGUGGAGUUGAUUUCGGAGGAUGAGGAGGAGAUUGAGAGACAAGAGGAUUAUGAGAGAGAGUUUAAUUUUAGGUAUGAGGAAAAUGCGGGUGAUCGAGUGUGGGGACAUUCGAGGAAAGUGGAGGGAUCGGUUAGGAAGAAGACGAAUGCUAGAAAGUUGCAGAGGGAUAGAAAGGAAGAGAGGAUAGCGCAGGCGGAGGAAGAGAGGAAAGAGGAGUUGAAACGGUUGAAGAAUUUGAAGAAGAAGGAGAUGAAGGAGAAGCUCGAGAAAAUUAAGGAGACUGCCGGGAUAGGUGAUGACGAGGAUUGUUUGUUGGAUGUGGAUGAUUUGGAGGAGGAAUUUGAUCCGGACGAGUACGAUAGAAAGAUGAAGAAGGCUUUCGGUGAUGCUUAUUAUGAUGCGGAUGAUAUCGAUCCUGAAUUUGGAAGUGAUGAGGAUGAAGACGUUGAGAAGCCGGAUUUUGACAAGGAAGAUGAGUUACUUGGACUCCCUAAGGGAUGGGAUAAUGUGGACGAGCCUCGUGAUGGGUUUUUAUCAACUAGGGAAAGACUUCUCAAAACUAUAGAGAAUGAAGGGAAUGAAGGUGAUCACGAUCAAACAUCAGAUGUCAAUAAAGGAAGUGCAGAUGAAGAAGAAGAAGGAGGUAAGCGGAAGAAGAAACGGAAGCGGAGUAACACAGUAAUGAAGGCUGUUAGAGAAGAGCUAAUGGAGGAGUAUUAUAAGUUGGACUAUGAAGAUACUAUUGGGGACUUAAAGACAAGAUUUAAGUAUAGGCCUGUCAAAGCUAAUAGAUUCGGUCUUGCUCCAGCGGAGAUGCUAAUGAUAGAGGAUAAGGAGUUCAAUCAGUAUGUCUCUUUGAAGAAGAUAGCACCAUAUAGAGAAAAGGAAUGGAAGGUACCCCGUAUUAAAGCGUACGAACUGAAACAGGAUCUUAAAGGAGGAGUAUCACAUGUGCCAAAAUCUGACAAGAAGAAGGCAAAGUUUGGUAAUAAGGAAAAAAUUGAAAGUGAGACAGAUGAUAGGAAAAGGAAACAAGAGGAAUCCAAUGGAGAUACAAGCAAACGAAGUAGGAAGCGAAAGAAACAAGCUGAGCAUAAUCUAUCUACAUCAAGGCUUAAUGCAUAUUCUGCCAACCCAUCAGUGUCAAACAGCAAAAAGAAGUAGCAGGCAGUUAAUGGGAGCAGCUUUGUAUUACAGUUUGUUGUCUCUGUUUUAUAUUUGACCCGGCGUUGUCUAUUGGCAUUCCAAGCUGUUGAAAACCUGUAUCUAAGGUUGUUCGUCUUGGUGAUCAAUGAAAUCUCGCGGCGAUAAAUAUUGUCUACUGGGAAGGUCCAGUGUGGAAUAGAGUUUUGCAGAUCUGGCUAGAUGAUUGUAUUUUAAAUUGAAUCUGUUAGAAAUUGGCUUUGGUGAACAGUGAAAUUGUCAUAGUUAUGGAUCUUCCAGGGUGGAUGAGCCAUUACAAUUGAGUUAAUAUAAACUUCUUUAAUUGAGAUUAAAGGAUGUCCUUUUUUUUGUAGGGUUUCUCAA